GAUUGAAUUGAGGUGGUAAGGUUUUAAUUAAGAUUUGAUUUAAGAUUAGGAUUAGAUUAGGAUUUAGGAUUUAGUUAGGAUUUGGUUAGGAUUUAAGAUUGGAUUAGAAUUUAGCAUUUGAUUUAGGAUUUAAGAUUUAGGAUUUGUUUAGGAUUUAAGAUUUGGCCUAAGAUUUGAUUGAAGCCCAUUACAAUUUCUACUACAAAAAAUUAAGACUUAAUUGAAAUUUAUUUAAGAUAUAUUUGUAAUUAUUCUAAUAUUUCUUUAGGAUUUCUUAAAGAUUCUUUUAAGAUUUAUUGAA
rnacentral:lncRNA from 1 species